rnacentral:rRNA from 1 species
CCUACGGGAGGCAGCAGUGAGGAAUAUUGGUCAAUGGGCGCAAGCCUGAACCAGCGACGCCGCGUGCGGGAUGAAGGGGCUUUGCCUCGUAAACCGCUGUCGGAUGGGACGAAAGGUGGCUUUAAGCCACUGGGACGGUACCAUCAAAGGAAGGAUCGGCUAACUACGUGCCAGCAGCCGCGGUAAUACGUAGGAUCCGAGCGUUGUCCGGAGUUACUGGGUGUAAAGGGUGCGUAGGCUGUUCUGUGCGUCAGAGGUGAAAUCCACGGGCUUAACUCGUGGGGUGCCUUUGAUACGGCAGGGCUUGAGUACGAGAGAGGUGCGUGGAAUUCCUGGUGUAGCAGUGAAAUGCGUAGAUAUCAGGAGGAACACCGGUGGCGAAGGCGGCGCACUGGCUCGUAACUGACGCUGAGGCACGAAAGCGUGGGGAUCAAACAGGAUUAGAUACCCUGGUAGUCCACGCCUUAAACGAUGCAUGCUUGGUGUUGGUCUCGCAAGAGAUCAGUGCCGUAGUUAACAUGAUAAGCAUGCCACCUGGGGAGUACGAUCGC